rnacentral:rRNA from 1 species
AAGUCGAACGGUGGUNGCAAUACCAUAGUGGCGCACGGGUGCGUAACACGUAACUAACCUACCUAUAACUGGGGGAUAGCCCGCCGAAAGGCGGAUUAAUACCGCAUAAGCUUUUGAGGUGGCAUCACCUUUUCAGUAAAGAUUUAUUGGUUAUAGAUGGGGUUGCGGGUCAUUAGCUAGUUGGUUGGGUAACGGCUGACCAAGGCGACGAUGACUAGGGGAGCUGAGAGGCUGGUCCCCCACACGGGCACUGAGAUACGGGCCCGACUCCUACGGGAGGCAGCAGUAGGGAAUAUUGGGCAAUGGGCGAGAGCCUGACCCAGCCAUGCCGCGUGCAGGAAGAAGGCUUUCUGAGUCGUAAACUGCUUUUGACAGGGAAGAAUAAGCACUACGUGUAGUGCGAUGACGGUACCUGCAGAAUAAGCACCGGCUAACUCCGUGCCAGCAGCCGCGGUAAUACGGAGGGUGCGAGCGUUGUCCGGAUUUAUUGGGUUUAAAGGGUGCGUAGGCGGCCCGUUAAGUCCGGGGUG